rnacentral:tRNA from 1 species
GGGCGUGUAGCUCAGCUGGAAACAAAGAUGGACGCAGAUGUAAUCUGCGUCGGUCGGCACUAGAGCGCGGGUCUUCUAAGCCUGAGGUCGGGGGUUCGUAUCCCCUCACGCCCA